GGACCCGACCAACUCCGAAAACGGCGAGCGCCCGAACGCUCAGUAAACCCCAGCCGACCCGCACCACAGAACUUCCCGACCCGGGAACUCCGCUUGUGUGUGAACCAAGUUAACACUCAGUUCCAACAUGUCAGCUGGAUGAGAGAAGGGGCUUUGAUCUACCUCAUACACUGCCUGGUCUCCAAUGCCUGGAACAGCACCUGACUCAUAUGGAGUUUCACUCUUGUUGCCCAAGCUAGAGUGCAGUGGCACAAUCUCGGCUCAAUGCAACCUCCGCCUCCAGAGUUCAAGCAAUUCUCCUGCCUCAGCCUCCCGAGUAGCUGGGAUUACAGGUACAUUAAGAUGUUCCAGGCUCAUCUUACACUUUGCUGUAAAUUCAGCCAUUUCUCCAAGAAGCCUCAGUUUCUUUUAUUGGAAAAUGGUGUUCAAAAACCAAGAUGCCAAAGGUGUCCAAACUAUACAGACCCACAGAAUCUAACAACAGAUGUCUCAAUAUUCCUCGUCCUAGAACUCUCAGAGGAUCCAGAACUACAGCCGGUCCUCGCUGGGCUGUUCCUGUCCAUGUGCCUGGUCAUGGUGCUGGGGAACCUGCUCAUCAUCCUGGCCGUCAGCCCUGACUCCCACCUCCACACCCCCAUGUACUUCUUCCUCUCCAACCUGUCCUUGCCUGACAUCGGUUUCACCUCCACCAUGGUCCCCAAGAUGAUUGUGGACAUCCAAUCUCACAGCAGUCAUCUCCUAUGCGGGCUGCCUGACUCAGAUGUCUCUUUUUGCCAUUUUUGGAGGCAUGGAAGAAAGACAUGCUCCUGAGUGUGAUGGCCCUAUGACCGGUUUGUAGCCAUCUGUCACCCUCUAUAUUAUUCAGCCAUCAUGAACCCAUGUUUCUGUGGCUUUCUAGUUCUGUUGUCUUGUUGUCUCAGUCUUUUAGACUCCCAGCUGCACAAUUUGAUUGCCUUGCAAAUUACCUGCUUCAAGGAUGUGGAAAUUCCUAAUUUCUUCUGUGACCCUUCUCAACUCCCCCACCAUGCGUGUUGUGACACCUUCACCAAUAACAUAGUCAUGUAUUUCCCUGCUGCCAUAUUUGGUUUUCUUCCCACCUCGGGGAUCCUUUUCUCUUACUAUAAAAUUGUUUCCUCCAUUCUGAGGGUUUCAUCAUCAGGUGGGAACUAUAAAGCCCUCUCUGCCUGUGGGUCUCACCUGUCAGUUGUUUGCUUAUUUUAUGGAACAGGCGUUGGAGGGUACCUCAGUUCAGAUGUGUCAUCUUCCCCCAGAAAGGGUGCAGUGGCCUCAGUGAUGUACACGGUGGUCACC
rnacentral:lncRNA from 1 species